GAAAGGCCAAUCAAACCGGGAGAUAGCUGGUUCUCCCCGAAAGCUAUUUAGGUAGCGCCUCGUGAACUCAUCUUCGGGGGUAGAGCACUGUUUCGGCUAGGGGGUCAUCCCGACUUACCAACCCGAUGCAAACUACGAAUACCGAAGAAUGUUAUCACGGGAGACACACGGCGGGUGCUAACGUCCGUCGUGAAGAGGGAAACAACCCAGACCGCCAGCUAAGGUCCCAAAGUCAUGGUUAAGUGGGAAACGAUGUGGGAAGGCACAGACAGCCAGGAUGUUGGCUUAGAAGCAGCCAUCAUUUAAAGAAAGCGUAAUAGCUCACUGGUCGAGUCGGCCUGCGCGGAAGAUGUAACGGGGCUAAACCAUGCACCGAAGCUGCGGCAGCGACACUAUGUGUUGUUGGGUAGGGGAGCGUUCUGUAAGCCUGCGAAGGUGUGCUGUGAGGCAUGCUGGAGGUAUCAGAAGUGCGAAUGCUGACAUAAGUAACGAUAAAGCGGGUGAAAAGCCCGCUCGCCGGAAGACCAAGGGUUCCUGUCCAACGUUAAUCGGGGCAGGGUGAGUCGACCCCUAAGGCGAGGCCGAAAGGCGUAGUCGAUGGGAAACAGGUUAAUAUUCCUGUACUUGGUGUUACUGCGAAGGGGGGACGGAGAAGGCUAUGUUAGCCGGGCGACGGUUGUCCCGGUUUAAGCAUGUAGGCUGAUUGUCCAGGCAAAUCCGGAUAAUCAAGGCUGAGGUGUGAUGACGAGGCACUACGGUGCUGAAGUAACAAAUGCCCUGCUUCCAGGAAAAGCCUCUAAGCAUCAGGUAACAUUAAAUCGUACCCCAAACCGACACAGGUGGUCAGGUAGAGAAUACCAAGGCGCUUGAGAGAACUCGGGUGAAGGAACUAGGCAAAAUGGUGCCGUAACUUCGGGAGAAGGCACGCUGGUGUGUAGGUGAAGUCCCUGCGGAUGGAGCUGAGACCAGUCGAAGAUACCAGCUGGCUGCAACUGUUUAUUAAAAACACAGCACUGUGCAAACACGAAAGUGGACGUAUACGGUGUGACGCCUGCCCGGUGCCGGAAGGUUAAUUGAUGGGGUUAUCCGUAAGGAGAAGCUCUUGAUCGAAGCCCCGGUAAACGGCGGCCGUAACUAUAACGGUCCUAAGGUAGCGAAAUUCCUUGUCGGGUAAGUUCCGACCUGCACGAAUGGCGUAAUGAUGGCCAGGCUGUCUCCACCCGAGACUCAGUGAAAUUGAACUCGCUGUGAAGAUGCAGUGUACCCGCGGCAAGACGGAAAGACCCCGUGAACCUUUACUAUAGCUUGACACUGAACAUUGAGCCUUGAUGUGUAGGAUAGGUGGGAGGCUUUGAAGCGUGGACGCCAGUCUGCGUGGAGCCAACCUUGAAAUACCACCCUUUAAUGUUUGAUGUUCUAACGUUGGCCCCUGACCGGGGUUGCGGACAGUGUCUGGUGGGUAGUUUGACUGGGGCGGUCUCCUCCCAAAGCGUAACGGAGGAGCACGAAGGUUAGCUAAUCCUGGUCGGACAUCAGGAGGUUAGUGCAAUGGCAUAAGCUAGCUUGACUGCGAGCGUGACGGCGCGAGCAGGUGCGAAAGCAGGUCAUAGUGAUCCGGUGGUUCUGAAUGGAAGGGCCAUCGCUCAACGGAUAAAAGGUACUCCGGGGAUAACAGGCUGAUACCGCCCAAGAGUUCAUAUCGACGGCGGUGUUUGGCACCUCGAUGUCGGCUCAUCACAUCCUGGGGCUGAAGUAGGUCCCAAGGGUAUGGCUGUUCGCCAUUUAAAGUGGUACGCGAGCUGGGUUUAGAACGUCGUGAGACAGUUCGGUCCCUAUCUGCCGUGGGCGCUGGAGAAUUGAGGGGGGCUGCUCCUAGUACGAGAGGACCGGAGUGGACGCAUCACUGGUGUUCGGGUUGUCAUGCCAAUGGCACUGCCCGGUAGCUAAAUGCGGAAGAGAUAAGUGCUGAAAGCAUCUAAGCACGAAACUUGCCCCGAGAUGAGUUCUCCCUGAGACUAUAAGUCUCCUGAAGGAACGUUGAAGACGACGACGUUGAUAGGCCGGGUGUGUAAGCGCAGCGAUGCGUUGAGCUAACCGGUACUAAUGAACCGUGAGGCUUAACCUUACAACGCCGAAG
rnacentral:rRNA from 1 species